AUUCCUACGGGAGGCAGCAGCAGGGAAUAUUGCGCAAUGAGCGAAAGCUUGACGCAGCGACACCGCGUGUGGGAUGACGGAUCUAGGUUUGUAAACCACUUUCAGGAGGGAAGAAAAUGACGGUACCUCCACAAGAAGCCCCGGCCAACUACGUGCCAGCAGCCGCGGUAAUACGUAGGGGGCGAGCGUUGUCCGGAUUUAUUGGGCGUAAAGAGCUCGUAGGCGGUUCAACAAGUCGGUCGUGAAAGUUCAGGGCUCAACCCUGAAAUGUCGAUCGAUACUGUUGUGACUAGGAUACGGUAGAGGUGAGUGGAAUUCCGAGUGUAGCGGUGAAAUGCGUAGAUAUUCGGAGGAACACCAAUUGCGAAGGCAGCUCACUGGGCCGCUAUCGACGCUGAGGAGCGAAAGCUAGGGGAGCAAACAGGAUUAGAUACCCUGGUAGUCCUAGCUGUAAACGAUGGAUACUAGACGUAGGAACUGGAUUGACGGUUUCUGUGUCGCAGCUAACGCGUUAAGUAUCCCGCCUGGGGAGUACGGUCGCAAGACUAAAACUCAAAGGAAUUGACGGAAU
rnacentral:rRNA from 1 species